UCAUCCCCUCCCCCUGUUCAGUUAUUAUAAGUCUGCUACUGGUUUAUUUCAGAAUCCCUGCCAAAUGGCAAGAUUGGGGUUUCCUGCUGGCUUCAUUGUUAUUAGGAAGUCAUUAUUUUCCCCUUACAAUUCUCAAGAAAAUGAGGAUCAGGACCCAUUUUCAUUGUUCUUGAAUCACUCUCAGUGGUGUAUUAAAUGAAACUUGGCUCCCUUUCCAACAUGUAUCUUUUUUUUAAUAGAAUCAGAGAUGUAAGGGAUGUGGGAGAUCAGAAGUCCACCCUCCCCCCUGCCACUUUACAGAUGAGAACACAGAGGCAUCAAAAGAUCAAGUGACUUACCCAGAGUUACACAGAGGAAAGAAAGCAACAAAUAGAAAUACUUAACUUUAUAAGUUGGAAAGAGGAGAAAAAAAGAAGAAGAUGCCUUCCACUGUCUGUAAAACAGGAAAUUCUGAGGCAUCUGUCUACUCAAAUGGAAGGAUAACUGUAAAUAAAAACAAAUGUCAUCCUGUUAUCUUCAUCAUCCUCAUGCAAUUCAGUUAUUUUCAGAAGACAACUUAAAAAAGAAAACAGCAAUGGAAGAAGUUAAUUGAACUCUCAUGAAUUUUAAGGAACAAGACUGCUCCCAGAUUGAUGAUCUCAAAACAUCUCUCUCCACUUCUUACUAAAGAUGAGUUAACUAUGGAUGAAAAAUGUGGUAUAUACGUUGUCAGACGUUAUUUUACUAGAAUAGUCUCAGUGAAGAGGCAGAAGAGAAUGGUUAUAUAAGUAAAAAUUACUAUGAUAUGAAAAGGAAAAGAGUUUUAAAAAUUAAAAAUCCAGUGGAACCAUUUACUUAAAAUAAGAGGAGGUAAGUAAUGUAGCAACAUUCAAAAUU
rnacentral:lncRNA from 1 species